AACUGCCUGUGACGUAUGUGUCUG
rnacentral:siRNA from 1 species